rnacentral:rRNA from 1 species
UACGAAGGUGGCAAGCGUUGUUCGGAUUUACUGGGCGUAAAGGGUGCGUAGGCGGCGCGGUAAGUCGGGUGUGAAAUCUCGGGGCUUAACUCCGAAACUGCAUUCGAUACUGCCGUGCUUGAGGACUGGAGAGGAGACUGGAAUUUACGGUGUAGCGGUGAAAUGCGUAGAUAUCGUAAGGAAGACCAGUGGCGAAGGCGGGUCUCUGGACAGUUCCUGACACUGAGGCACGAAGGCCAGGGGAGCAAACGGG